UAGCCUAGUGGAUAGGGCUUUGGAUCGCAAAUCCGGAGACGACGGGUUCGAUUCCCGU
rfam:Aedes albopictus isolate Foshan contig30794, whole genome shotgun sequence.